CUAACCAAAGCAUUUGCCAGUCCUAGUAUAGGUGAUAGAAAAGACACCAUUGGAGCGAUAGAGACUACGUACCGUAAGGGAAAGAUGAAAUAAUAAUGAAAUAACUAAGCUAAAAACAGCAAAGAUCAACCCUUGUACCUUUUGCAUCAUGGUCUAGCAAGAAAAACCAAGCAAAAUGAAUUUAAGUUUGCCCUCCCGAAACCCAAGCGAGCUACCUAUGAGCAGCUACUACUGAGCGAACCCGUCUCUGUUGCAAAAGAGUGGGAUGACUUGUAGGUAGGGGUGAAAAGCCAAUCGAGCUGGGUGAUAGCUGGUUGCCUGUGAAACGAAUCUAAGUUCACUCUUAGCUCUUCUCCAAGGAAACUAAGAACCCUAAUGAAGCGAGCUAAGGGAUAUUUAAAGGAGGUACAGCUCCUUUAAAAAAGAAUACAAUCUCCACGAGCGGAUAAAUAACCUAUGUACAAAAAUACUGUGGGCCCUCAAGCAGCCAUCAACAAAGAGUGCGUUAAAGCUCUGUGCAACAAAAAUAUCUACACCAUAUGAAUCCCUCAUCACUAACAGGCUAACCUAUAAUACAAUAGGAGAAUUAAUGCUAGAAUGAGUAACCAGGGUCCUCCCUCUUCGACGCAAGCUUACAUCUGUACAUUAUUAACAAGUACCAAAUAUACGA
rnacentral:rRNA from 1 species